GUCGGGUACCAUUGCUAGAUGGUCACUUUGAUUGGUAUAAAAAUUUAUUUCUAUACUACUGACUUAGGUUUGGACCUAUGAGGUCACACACAUUAGAGUUCAUGAUCCGAUCGGAUGGUUGAUCAACGAUUAAGAAUCGUUCUAGGGUUAAAUGAUCAAUACGAUUGACAUUUAACCCAAUGCAAGUGUUGCAGGAGGAUCGAUUAGCAAUUCGAUUGCUAAUUGGCUUAAUUUGAUUAAGCCAAUAGGCUGAGAUUAAGUUUAAUUAAAUAUAAUUUAAUUAGAUUUAGUUUGGGCUUGAUUGGAUCAAGUUCUAUUGGUUUAUUGGAUAAGCCAAGUGCAA
rnacentral:lncRNA from 1 species